rnacentral:rRNA from 1 species
CCCGCUGAACUUAAGCAUAUUAAUAAGCGGAGGAAAAGAAACUAACAAGGAUUCCCCUAGUAACGGCGAGUGAAGCGGGAAGAGCUCAAGCUUAAAAUCUCCGUGCAAGUUUUGUGCGGCGAAUUGUAGUCUAUAGAAGCGUGGUCAGCAUGGGCACUUGGGGCAAGUUCCUUGGAAGAGGACAGCAUGGAGGGUGAUACUCCCGUUCAUUUCUGAGUUGCUCGUGCGUACGACCCGUUUUCUUUGAGUCGCGUUGUUUGGGAAUGCAGCGCAAAGUAGGUGGUAAAUUCCAUCUAAAGCUAAAUAUUGGUGCGAGACCGAUAGCGAACAAGUACCGUGAGGGAAAGAUGAAAAGAACUUUGAAAAGAGAGUUAAAGAGUACCUGAAACUGCUGAAAGGGAACCGAAUCGUUUCCAGUGUCUAUAAUCCGUGGUAUAUUUCAUUGGCGAGUGUGUGCGUGCGUGUGCUGUGGCAGCGGCUUUUUUGGCUGCGCUCGGCGUGUGUGCUGUGUGUGCUUGCUGGUGCUCUGUGCUGCGGUGGGACGUCAAGGUCAGUUCGUAUGCUGCGGGAAAUGGCUGCCGAGGAGGUAGGGCUUACGCUUGCGUUUGUCUGUUAUAUCUUGGUGGACGAGUAGUCGCGGUUGGGACUGAGGUGCCUACAACGUGCUUUUGAGUGGGUUUGUGUCUCCGUGUGCGCCGUGUGCGGAUAGCUUGCUAUGCGUGUGUGGUUGUGUGUGGAUUGAUGCGAGCUUUAACUUGUUGCCGUUCGGGACGUUGACGAAAUGGAGCGAUUCGACCCGUCUUGAAACACGGACCAAGGAGUCUAACAUGUGUGCAAGUGUUAGGGUGUGGAAACCCCAGCGCGAAAUGAAAGUGAAGGGCAGCGUAAGUUGUCUGAGGUAGGAAAUGCUGCGGGCUUCGGUYUGCGGUGUGGCACUAUCGACCGAUCAUGAACCUUCGUGGUGAAAGAUUUGAGUUUGAGCACAUAUGUUGGUACCCGAAAGAUGGUGAACUAUGCCUGAGUAGGGUGAAGCCAGGGGAAACUCUGGUGGAAGCUCGUAGCGAUUCUGACGUGCAAAUCGAUCGUCAAACUUGGGUAUAGGGGCGAAAGACUAAUCGAACCAUCUAGUAGCUGGUUCCCUCCGAAAUUUCCCUCAGGAUAGCAGCAACUUAUUUACGAUAGUUUUAUGAGGUAAAGCGAAUGAUUAGAGGAUUCGGGGAAGAAACUUCCUCGACCUAUUCUCAAACUUUAAAUCUGUAAGACCUGCAGGUUUCUUAAUUGAACUUGUGGAUGUGAAUAUCAAGUUGCUAGUGGGCCAUACGGGGUAAGCUCGUCUGGCG